rnacentral:rRNA from 1 species
UACGAAGGGGGCUAGCGUUGCUCGGAAUUACUGGGCGUAAAGCGCACGUAGGCGGAUCUUUAAGUCAGGGGUGAAAUCCUGGAGCUCAACUCCAGAACUGCCUUUGAUACUGAGGACCUUGAGUUCGGGAGAGGUGAGUGGAACUGCGAGUGUAGAGGUGAAAUUCGUAGAUAUUCGCAAGAACACCAGUGGCGAAGGCGGCUCACUGGCCCGAUACUGACGCUGAUGUGCGGAAGCGUGGGGAGCAAACAGG